rnacentral:rRNA from 2 species
AGGUCGAGCAGGGACGAAAGUCGGGCUUAGUGAUCCGGUGGUUCCGUAUGGAAGGGCCAUCGCUCAACGGAUAAAAGCUACCCUGGGGAUAACAGGCUUAUCUCCCCCAAGAGUCCACAUCGACGGGGAGGUUUGGCACCUCGAUGUCGGCUCAUCGCAUCCUGGGGCUGUAGUCGGUCCCAAGGGUUGGGCUGUUCGCCCAUUAAAGCGGUACGCGAGCUGGGUUCAGAACGUCGUGAGACAGUUCGGUCCCUAUCCGUCGCGGGCGUAGGAAAUUUGAGAGGACCUGUCCUUAGUACGAGAGGACCGGGAUGGACAUACCGCUGGUGUACCAGUUGUUCCGCCAGGAGCACCGCUGGGUAGCUAUGUAUGGACGAGAUAAACGCUGAAAGCAUCUAAGUGUGAAACUCGCCUCGAGAUGAGAUUUCCCAUUUCCUUCGGGAAAGUAAGACCCCUCAGAGAUGAUGAGGUAGAUAGGAUGGAAGUGGAAGUGCC